UACAGAGGGUGCAAGCGUUGUUCGGAAUUAUUGGGCGUAAAGGGUGCGUAGGCGGUGCGGUAAGUCUGUAGUGAAAUCUCUGGGCUCAACUCAGAGUCUGCUAUAGAAACUGCCGUGCUUGAGUGUGGGAGAGGUGAGUGGAAUUCCCAGUGUAACGGUGAAAUGCGUAGAUAUCGGAAGGAACACCAGUGGCGAAAGCGGCUUCCUGGUCCAGCACCGACGUCAGGCACGAAGCGUGGGGAGCAAACAGG
rnacentral:rRNA from 1 species